rnacentral:sRNA from 1 species
GCUGGGCAUGGUAGUGCAUGCCUGUAAUCUCAGCUACUUGGGAGGAUGAGGCAGGAGGAUUAAGAGUUCUAGCCCAAUUUGGGCAACAUAGCAAGAGCCUGUCUCAA